rnacentral:rRNA from 1 species
CAGCCGCCACGGUAAUACGUAGGGUGCAAGCGUUAAUCGGAAUUACUGGGCGUAAAGCGUGCGCAGGCGGUUCGUUAAGACAGAUGUGAAAUCCCCGGGCUCAACCUGGGAACUGCAUUUGUGACUGGCAGGCUAGAGUAUGGCAGAGGGGGGUGGAAUUCCGCGUGUAGCAGUGAAAUGCGUAGAUAUGCGGAGGAACACCGAUGGCGAAGGCAGCCCCCUGGGCCAAUACUGACGCUCACGCACGAAAGCGUGGGGAGCAAACAGGAUUAGAUACCCCAGUAGUCCCUGUCUCUUAUAA